UUUACAUUUUACGUACCAUUUUCGUCUUUUUACCAAUAUAUUUUUAUCCUUUCAUUUUUCAAUUAGAACUAGGUUAGAUGUUGUUCGUAUAAUCUUGUCCCACGAUAGGAAUACGAAUGAAUAGUUACAAUCUGAAAAAGGGAACAAUAUGACUUUUCACGGGUAUUAUCAUAGGAACAGAGACGAUGACUAGUAUUGAGGUAUUGCGCAUUUUCCAUUUUCCGUCAUUUCCUGCUCUAUACAGCAAAUUGCGAUUGAAUAAUGGACAUCGAGCAUCUAAUAAUUGCUGAAUAAAACCUGUAUUUUUCGCACAAUUACUGUACCUAUUAUACCGUGCUCGUACCACGUAUGCAGUUUCACAGGUAGAAAAGAGAAGUAAAAAUCGAUUCUACUAUUCAAAUGACUAUCAGUAAUCGAAUACUAAAAACAUGCAGUAAAAUUCUUUUAAUAAGGAUUUAUUCGUAUCGCCAAAGUGAAGUCCACAAUAGAUUAAAUGUUCAUAAUAUAUAUAUAAUAUAUAUAUAUAUUAAUGAAAAAAAGAGGAGAAAAAAUGUCGUAAUUGUAAUGCCUUUGUUAACAUAGUUCAAACGUUUGCAUACAAACUGACAUUUGUUAGAAACAGAGCAUCGGUCGUGCAAUGAAUAAACAUUUCACAGCGUGAUCGUUAUUGUCGAACGAUCACGUGAAUUAUAAACAAUCGUACAGUGAAAGCAGGCUAGAUCAGUUUGGCCAAUGUUAAAAAUUUCUUUACUGUUAUAGAUGAAACGUACUGGUAGAAAAAUGGUAACCCAGUGAUCGGAUUACGUUGUACGGGAGAGUAAUUUGGUAUUUUUGACGGAGAAUCAACACACCGAAAGUUAGCAUUUGGCUUAUAGAGCAUAUAUGUACCUCUAGCUACAUUUUCACUCUAUCUACAAUCAAUCGUUUCAAGCAACGGAUCAAUGCAUCCAACUAUUGUUAGCUUCGCAGACUGCGCGUUCGUUUUGAAAAUGUUAUUAAGUGGUUUAAUAAAGCGUACGUUAUUAACGUUAUAAAAGAAGUGUUAUGAAGGUCUCUAUCGCAAAGCGUUCUCGUUGCCUUGGUUUCUUUUUUAUCAAGACCACAAAAGAAAUUAUUUAAAAAAGAAUAAUAAAUCAUGUCAAAGAUUAUGAACAUUUAAAAUUAUGAAAUCAUCAGAAAAAUUUCACAACGGUUUAUAAAAUCUUCGAACCACAUUUGUAAAUAAAAGGUAAGCACGUAAUAAAGCUUUUAUUAUCGAAAUGAAGCUGGUCAGUGUAACCGGGUUAAAAAUUCCUAUGAAUCCUUGUCAUCGUGUUUGAGAGCGGCUCGUCACGCGAACGAUGUCGGCUCGCCACUGUAUACCAAACUCUUAUGAAAGCAACACGAGAUCCAUGCGCAACGAUAUACACGAUUGUGCGCGUUAGCGCGGAAAUUGAAUUACCUUUGUGCGACUGCAGCGAUGAAAGCGAGGCCGGAUUGUACCAUCUUGCAAACGGUCUUCCAAUUAAACGUAGCUACGAAGUACAAUUUACACGUCAAAGGAUCUCGAUGGUAACGUCCCCAUUGGUUUUGUUCCAAAUGGGUUGCUUCAUUGAUCAUAUAUUGCUCAUUAAAAAAAUUGGAAGCAUCUGAUGAUUGUCAAUAAUUAAUCAGGCAUUACCGGCUGACACAUAUUAUCAAUGAGAUAUUACAAGUUUAAGAAGUAAUUGAGAAGCACGAUGUAACAUAUGUACUGAAGGGGUUAAUCUUUAUUUCUUCCUUUUUUCUUCAUUUUAGUACAGUAAAGAGAGGAUAUUCGCUUUUAAUCACAAAUACGUUGAUCAAGAUUAAUUUGGAGGGAUUAGUUCGUUAACUAACGGAGCGACGAGAUGAUGGGAGUUUAAGAGUCCCAUUAGGAUGUUCUCUGAAAACUUGUUUGCAAUUUAAAGUAAGUCAGCGUUUGGUCGGUGGAAAGAAUCGUGGGUGGAAAGAAAAACUUUGUGCCCAGGGGAUGAAAAGACGGCUGGCAUAAAAUUAUAUUUGUUCAGUCGAAUCUUGGACGAAACGGGCUGUAGGACCGUGAUCAGAAUUUUUAUGGAAAGGCAGUGCCGAAUUCAUGAAUACGCGCGCGUUCGCUUCCUGUUCAAGAUUUACGGGCAUCACAAAUGCACGCUUCCGCCCACAUUCAAUGAAAGUUUCCAAGACAUUCGCACGCCAUUUAAUGAAGCUCUAACCCUAGCCUUCAUUUCCAAUAACAAACGUGAUUCCGUGUUGCUCGUUUCUUUGAUAAUGCGCUCUCCUGCAAAGUAAAGUAGGAAAGUUCAAAAGAUUAAAUGUCGAACGGCGUAUUAAAGAGAAUUUAUGUAAAUUCAAAGUAAGAAACAUAACGUAGUUAAUUACGUUAUAUUACCGGCAUAGUAGUUAUUUGAAUUUAAAGUAGCGAUUUUUGUGAUAUAAAAUGUCACGUCGAAUUAAAAUCCCGCACAGGAAAGGUUUCGAUUGCGGGAAAUAUAAACUGCACACGCGUUAAAAUCCAGUUAAUCGAAUUUAAAUGAUAUUCAGCCUUUAUUAAGGUUUCCCGUGACUUCGCACAUACCUUUAACACUGCCGUUUUCAUUAUCAUAAGCGUUACGUUAUUGCAAUCUUACCAAGACCGACACUGCUACACAGGUGAGACAGUCAUUAACAGGGAGCAAUUAAGUUAACUGUGUGCAAAAUGUUAUCAUUGAAUUUUGAUGAUCUCAUUACCUGUUAUUGGCUGUUAUGAUCUUAAUACAUACAGGAAAAGCAUUGUAAAACAUUAACUAACAAAUAUAGGAUUUUGAAGGAUCGGCAAACAAAUUUUCGGUUCCAUUUGGAAAUUUUAUUUUAGUCAUACUGUUCAAUAUUUCACCAAAAGCAGUGAUUCUUAAAAUUAUCGGAUUAACCUUGAACCCAAAAUCGUCCGCAUUAUCCCGGCUGAUCCUCGAAGAAUACAAGCCGCAAACAAGAGAACGAAAGGUAUUAGGAGAAGAAAAGGAGUGUUCGAAAACAAGGUUAAAGACAAGCACGGUAAAAAAGGGGGAUAGAGAAACGGAAUGAAAGAAGAAACGUAAGAAGAGAUGAAAAAUAAGUGAAAAAAAUGAGGAGUAAGAAGAGGGCUCUGCUCGUGUCUGAGGGCGACCCUCGGUGAAAAUGCAAUUUCGGUUCUUGUCUGGAGACGACGUAGCUACCAUGGCUCAUCUUCCUGGCGUCCGUACCUCCUUCAACAUUGUUGAAGGCACAGCCUCUCGUGCACACAGAAGUUCUUCUCUCUGGCAUGUUCCAGGAGAUGAAAGGCUCCCGUGGCUAUCAAAGGGAAAGGGAAGAGAGGUAAAGGCCCCACCCGACAAUGGCCCUGAGCUCCAAGGUUUUCAAGCUCGACGUCCAGGCCUCGGAGGACCAGUCGUGUGAUUUCAACCGGCCUGUCAACUUAUUCCCAUUUCAUCCGAUUUGGAUAAAUAUCACGAUUGUUUCGAUCUUCCGCUCAUCUAGAAUUUUCGGAAACAAAUUUGAAAAUACCAGAAAAUUCAAGUUUCCGCAUAUUAUAAAGCCUGUCGUUUAGAGUCUAGCAGAUUCCACGGGGAAUUUUCUACAUGUCUAGGAAAUGGAGGAAAAACGUCAGCGUAUUACUCACAGAGAGAAACGUUUCCUCUUUUAACCGAUUACGAAACGAAGAAAGAAGGCGGUUCUAAAUUUACAUUGGUUCAUUUUGCAUCCUCGUCGACGAGGUGAACGCGCUCUUCGACCAGCGACAUCUCGCCAGAGAGCCAUCUUCGGCGACGAGAGAACUGGAACAAGGUGUACGAUGAAUUUUCUACAAGAUGUUUGAGAGCACUGCCAAUGAUUCAGCAUUUCUGACCGAUUGCCACGAGAGUGAGAGGGAGAGUAUCGAUAAUGCACGUGCCUCAUUUUACAUUGUUGCAUAUCUUGAUGGAGAACAUUCAAAGUUUCAUACUGCCUUCUUGGAAAUCAAUAAGAUUAGGGAGUACUUUGAGGUCUCCUUAAAUAACUUAAACUCAUUUCAUUUAUUUAAUGCUAUUAGAUAUAAAUGAUUAUAUGAUAUCUUAUUAAUUCCAGUCGGUAAUAUUCUUAAAAAUACAGUAAAGGAUUAGGAAAAAGUUUAUGGAACCCAGUCACAUAUUCGAUAGUGUAGCUGUAGGCGCGAACCAGACAUAAUAAGGCAUUUGUAUGUUCAUCGUGAUUUUGAUAUUCGAGGUCCUGUCUUUUUAGCCAUGCUUUUAAAUCAAGGAUCGAGAAUAGCAAAAAGAAGGAAGCUUUAAACGGGCAACGUAAAAACAUUACGCUCGAAUCAGCGAGACAUCGUAAUUCAAUUAAAAAUGAAACAGAAAACAGUCGAUAACGGACUACGUUAACAGAUUAAAAAGAAAUACGAUGAAAGCACGUGUUCAGUAUACAGUGUACUACGUAUACGUCACGGGAGUAGAGAGAGAUGGAAAAAGAAAGAAAAAGAGAGACAGAGAGAUACAAAUCCAGUCGAUGGAAAUGUUACUGUAAAUCCGCGUCAAGAUCAGAGCUGACGUCAUCCUCUGACGCACCAUCAUCUGACAUACUCUGCAUUGUUCAGCGAACGUUCGAAAAUAUGUUACAGGAAAAUGGUAGUUUCGAUACGUGCUGCCAUCUUCGCAAUUGGUUGAUGCUUCUGGUAAGGCAGAGAACUGUACGUCAUAGUGAACAAUAACUUAGAUUCUACAUGAGAAUGAAUAGAACAUCUCGUGUUUGCGGACUCUGUAACAGGUGUUCUUGUUUCUGGAGGGGAGUUCGGACUGCUGGUUGCACAUCAGUGAUUUCUAUCUUCGACAUCAGACGUUGUCUUUUCGCUGCCAAAAUUGUACCCAGGAAACUGAAAUAUCGAGGUAAAGUAGGCAGGUGUGCUUCCUGCAGACGCACAAGUACAUACAUAAUAAGAAGAUAAUAUUCAAGCAUAGAGAAGGAGCAGCGAGCGUAAGAGUGUGAGUGAUCACGUCCUGUACUUUCCUAAGCACCUGCAGAGCCAGAACAGAUCCGGCAGGUGCAAAAAGGAUACGGGAAACCCCGAAGAACUUUAUGCAAUCCUCGUUGAACGGAGCGCGGCGAUUUUCCUGCUGUUUCCCGGGUAACUUUUGCGUCAGCCUUUAUCGCCGGAAAAAAACUCGUUAGCUUGGCGCGGCCUAGCUGGCCUGCUUCCAGAACAAACCGCCAGAGGUCCGGCGUUACGUGCGAACCGAGGCCGCGCCGAUGAAUUUGGUGACGUAAGAGAAUAAAACCACCAUAAAGGCUUGCUGGUUCAUUAGCGCAAACCGCGGAGCAUGGCAUCCUUGUAGAGAGAGCGAGGUUAUAAUCCAUAGUCUGAUCUCGGUGUAUCCACAGUACGUACCUUUAAAACGUUCGCUGCGUUGGCACAGAACUCCGACAUUCCACUAGACUUACUGACUAGAGGAUAGUAAAACGAUAAAACAUUUACGAUCACGGAAAGUUUUCAGAUCUAUUUCACCUAAUACUUUUAUGUAUUUUAAGCAUAAUUUUACAUUAAUUACAGAGAGACAAAAGAACACGAGAGUGAAAAAAGAUUAGAUACAAUGUUUUAUAUAGGUUAAUACAAGUAGAACUCAUUUCAAAAAUUGUUCGUUGCAUUGUGUUACGCAUGCGCAGUAAUGCAGAGUCACUGUUAUUACACGGUACAAAGAUUCGGUUGAUUAUCGGAACGAAAUAUAUUUAUUAUUAUUAUCGAAUAUUUCACAGUAAAUAUUUCAAUUAAUAAUCACUAUGUAUUAAUUUAUACCAUCAGUAGAAUAUGUUAAUAUGUGUCGUUGACGUUCCUAUAUUUUCUUUUAUUUUUAAAUAUUUAAUACAUGCUACUAUAAUUGUUACAGGAGUAAAUUACUUUUCGAAACGCGUUUGGUUUUUGAAUUAUCGACAUGUAGUCCUCCGGUUGUUCAGUGCUGCAGCGAAACGCAGCAAUAAGGAGAGAUAAUAUACAUACUUGACUUCCACUCGAGGAGGUCGGGUAGAUAAGAGAAGAGUGAACCUGCGAAAUUGACUUUCGUAAUUACCGACCGAGAAUGCGCCAGUAUCCAAGGUAGUAUUCGGCCGAUCUACAGCCGUAGAUCAUUCGGAUACGAUAAAGUUUGCAAUUUGUACGCAAAGAGAAAUGACCUAGGCUUAUUCAUUCGGCCAUUCGCCAAUUACCGUGUCGAUCUUCUCUUUGAAACUCCAUUUAAUCUGCAUCGCAGUAAUUGCUACAUAACACCUUAUUUUUACAUCUUGUGCAUGACCUCUUCUAUUUUAAAAUACGUCGAUCAAUAUGUUAAUACUGCAGUUCAUCUUCUUUCAAUUUUGGUAAUGCUAACAUUAUUUUAUGAAUUGCGUUGUGACACGAUACAGAGAUAUUCUUUAUGAUUUCCUUCUUAUUUUCCUUUUCAUAACUCUUUGAAAAUUGAAUUCAGUUUCUUAAAAUUGUGUCAAGUAUCAGAAAGAAACUACCUCACAGGGAAAGCUCUAUAUAUCAAUUAUGUGUAUUGUAUAUAUUGUUUUUACGGUAAACUUUCAAUCACUUUAGGUAGUAUAGUUGAAUAAUUUCCGGAAAUUAGAAAAACAUCUAUAUCAAGGAAUUUGUGAACAAAGUACAAUUUGGAACGACACACAGCAUGUGUGUAUCUUGUAUAUGAAUCGAUAGUGGUUCGCAUCCAGCGUUGCGUAAAAUGACGUCAAUUGGCGUGUAAGGAUUAUGUGAAAAAACUGACCGUAAUCGUUAUUGACUACUUAAAACGCAUACAAUUAAGGCUUUCUUUCGAAAGCAGGUUAUUUAAUCAUUGAUAACUUGAGACUCUCUUCCUUAUUGAAGUCAUCUCGAAAAUCCAAUUAGUGGAGAACUGCUUAACGGAGCACCAGUCACUUAAAUCGUACUUUACCAAUUUCCUUUCUUAUUAGAGGAUCAAAUGGCAAAUGAAUGAAAUAAGCGUGCUAUGUGCAGUAUAAACACAAAAUUCAGCAAUUAUAUACAUCUUGCCUUGUGCAUGCUGCAAUUUGCAAGGAAUGAGGUACUGCUUCUACUUGCAAUUAUAUUUCUGGUAAAGAAACUACGAGUUUGAAGGAUCUUAAAUAUUUCUAUAUUGUACUAUAAGAAUUAAACCAAAUUAACUUCAAAAAAAAUUGUCUUGAACAUCAAGCUUCAAUUUCCAAUCUUAACUGAAUAGAAAUUACCACCAAAAAGUAUUCUAUAAGCUGUGGCAAGCAGUACAAUUUUCGGUCUCGAAAGAAAGUGCGCCAGUUAUGCAAUUAAGAUUUUAAUAGAACUCUCAUGUUCGUGAAUCUCCGUUGGCCGCACCGAACACCGCAUCCCUCAAGGGGUUAAUUUCAUUUCGACUGUCUGGGCAACAUGCGAGCCGAAGGUGUGCAUCACGAAAGAACCUGCCACUGCACCAGCAUGUAUUGUUGUCGUCGACGUCGAAAGAGUUCAGUGUCAAACGUCAGCGAUUUGUUUUCAUGAUGCACGAACGCUAUGGUUGCACAACAACGAUUUAUCGCUGACGAAUGUUAUUGGCGACUCGUGAUCAGCGUGUACGCAAUAUCUUCACGGACGAGCCAUCGUAAUGCCGAGCGAGCCGAUUUUAAAAAUCAAUUCAUCUCCACGCGCCUGCGGGUAACGGCCGAUGUCCAGCUUUUAAUACGUCGUUAAGAUUGAGUGCUCGGAUUGCAAUUGAACUGUCGCGUUUUGAACGCCGACAAAUAAAAAAGUACCGAGAAAAAUCUAUACAUGGAAUGUUUAGCAGUUCUUUGCGCUAAUUAUUUGAAUCCUUCUUAAUAAUUAAUGGCGUGUUGCUUGAAAUAAGUAGAAAGUUAGUGAAUAUUAAAGUAUUCAUUGGAAUGUGCAUUUUUUGGCCAUUAAGUAAUAUUUAAUGACCAAAAUUUUGUUUGAUUGUGAAGAAACAAGCGUAGUGAUUGCUUAAAAAUUUAAUAGUUUAAUAAUAACAAACUAACAUUUAAACAACACACCUCAAAGUUAAGGUCCUCUGAAGAGUUAAAUUAAUACCGUGUACAAUAUUCAUGCACAAAAAAAAUAUUUUACUUUUGAAGUGACAAUCUAGAUACCGGGAGAUACAAUAAUUUAAAAUACAAAGCUUAAAUUAUGAACUAUUAAAAAUAGUCUGCAAUGAUAGCGAACUUGUCGAUAAGACAAUUAUUUUUCUUGAAAGAACUCAAAAAUAUACGUACUCACGAAUAUUAAUUGUCGCAAAAUAAAGUCAUCCACUAGCAGCGGUAAAUUAUUUCUGUGACUAAAAACGGAUAUUAUUAAAGAUUUUUGGAAUAUACGCUGCGGAAUAGUAACUGGCCAAUCGAGAACGCGUUAUCUUAUCAUCAGCCAACAGCCCAACUUCUCCAUCCAAAUGCGUGCUCUAGUAUACAGGAGAUAACAUUUCGCCUCGUGGCCAAUGAGAUUCUAUUUGAGAUCCUGCUCGCUCGGUUGUGGAGAAAUCAGAAUCCGGAAUACGAGACAUGCAACUCGAUCUUGCGCUCAUCUCGAUUUCAGUCUCCCUUCCGAUCAAACACCGCUUCUUGGCAAUCUUGUAAUCUCGCCGAACAAGUCCUCUAGACUCGUUGAUCUAGACAUCGUAUACGCCGCGUUUAGCUCUAUAUUUUUACAUUACGUAUGAUUAAUUAUUAAUCGAUAACUUGUAAUUCUAGUUAAGACUCUCUUGAGACUUGGUAUCACGUUACGUUCAUCUAUAAAUUGCAUUACGUUCGCAAUACGUAUUUGAAUUUAAGAACGUUGGUAUUUACUGUUAUCACUGUUUUGGAUUAUAAAAACAUUUUCAAGUAGAUUAAACUGUGGAAAUCGUACUUUUUGUGAUAUUAUGUAUGUGUAACUUUUAUUUUGCAUAUUUAUGAGUAGUAGAAUCAACAGAAAAUAUUGUAAUCAAUCGCAACUUUUGUUCUCACAAGCGAAAAAAAAUUAGAGUAUAGAGAAUUUAUGCUUUUGAUUUGAAAUGACGAACAAACGUUUUCAAAUGAAACAAAGAGAAGUGUUUGUAUUCAUCGCUGUAUCACAGAAGAUUUGUAAAAUCUCACAUCGUAACUAUGUAAACGAAGAAGAAGCGAUAGCUUGCUUUAAAGAUUUUCAAAAAUAUUUGCAAAUAUUGAACUAAAAUUUCUCUUCGUUCGAAACUAUCGCGAGGAAAUCAAAUUUUUGAUGAAAGAAAAUACAUACCGAGGUCUCAAUGCCGCUAUCGCGGCACACUGUUUGCCAUGAAUUAUGCUGAGAUUUCAUAAGUGCUUCUGACCUUUACUGCGAAGAAUUUUCUUGGAACGAUGACGACGAUGAUAUCGCAGGCGAGAGUUAAUAAUCGAUGUUCUACGUUCGAAAAAUGUUUGACAGAAUUAAGUAACGAUUACGUGGACAUUCAAGCGAAGGAUAAAUCUCACGAUUAGAUAAUAAUAGUAAUAGUUGCGGUUUAAACAGUCACGAUUACAGUGCUGUACUAUACUUUAAACGCUGUUUUAUUCUUUGUAUUAUUUUCUUUCUUCGUAUAAUUUUUUAAUUCAAACUCUACUUAUUAAAUUAUUUCUAUUAACAACUAAAAGCGCGCUAUUGAAUUCUUGCCUAUUCAUGAAGGGAUUCCCGGAGUUUCAUCUCGUGAAAAUGCAUGGAGUCCGACAAUUAACAUCGCAUCCAUUCACGUAAGCUCGGUGGCAUUACGGAAAGGAAAAAAAAUAAGCGUUCAUUCAUGAAAACUCUUAUCUGCGUAUACAUAGCCAUAGAUUACCAACCCCGUUUCAUUCACACGUUCGUGGAACAGGUUGAAUUUAUCGCUGACAUCUUUCCGUUGAAAAAAGGACCAUAUCAGUUUUACAAACCCCACUAUUUUAUAUUCCAUCCUCUUCCAAUUUUUGUCCAAGAUACCAAGGACUUCAAUUUGAUUACCACGAAUUACUGUGAAUUAACAAAAAUCAACGCAUUCGCUUCAAUCUCUCUAAAAUAACAAGAAGAAAACCAUAGGAACUAAACUGAAGAAAACUACCAUGUUACAACACCUUUAAUUGACUAAAAAAUAACGGCAGUAAGGAAACCAUAGAAACCAAAUAGGAGAAAUCUCAUAGAAGAAACGGUAUCGAAAGAAACUAAGCAGGAGCAUCGUCGAAUCGACUCACGUGCACUGGAAUACAGGCGAGCUUCGAGUCACAGUGCAGGAUAUAUGACGCAAAUCGAAUGCACGCGGUUCUGUUUACGUACGAGAUAAGAGUUUGUCCUGGGUCAAGGCUGCACGCAGUUUGAUAAUCCAAUUCAGAUAACGGGAACGUGCAUAGAGUUUGCUGGACCUUGAGUACAUACAUACAUAUAUAUACAUAUAACGACGGUCUACGCGAGAAAGAGAAACGUCCGAAGAGAAUACACACGAGGCAGCGCAAGGCAAGGCGAGUCUCGAUGACUCAUUUCGCGAGCAAUUUGUCAAAUCAUCUGCCCCUUCUCUCCCCCGAAAGACCCGCCCUCGUUCCCUCUCCUUCAAACGGAAAGACUCACGUUUAUCGUGAAUAGUACGCCUAACAUGCGCACGUGACAUUUCGAGUAUCUCGAAUUAAACUGUAAACAUCGUAGUACAACCGACGGUUGAAGACCAGCCACGCGGACAGUGUCAAUGAUCCUACUAUUUAUUGGAUCGUUGCUUACGCACGGCGCCACAUGUCUGUGGAUAUGUACGUGUACACGUCCGGCUGUAUGUGUGCGGGCAUCUCUCCUUCCUCGUCUCGCUUUUGUCAGUCGUGACCUCGAAGGUUAUUUCGUCUGUCUACCUCUUUAUCUUCUGAAUCUCCUUGCGAGACCCGAUUUUCGAAAUCUUUCAUUCAGAUGCUCUGCGGUGAAUGACACGGCAUGAACAGGAAUUUGGCUUUGAUUCUCGAUUGAUAUGAUAUUUAUGUAUGAUAGGAGCCUGAAAAUUUAUACCAGCUGUCUGUGGAUUAUGAUGUAUGAUUGUUAUAUCGUAUCGUUAUUGCAGAUUGGUACAGAUUCAAACAGAUUGGUUUUGGAAUGUACGUGUGUUCAAGUGUUUUCACACUUAAAUGCUCUUCUCUUCUCCUUCAAUAGAAUAUCAUGAAGUAUACGUUUCUCAAGUCUCUUCAGCCUCUAUCUUUCAAAAACUCGAAGAACACUUAGGAACAAUGAAACGUGAACAAAGUCAUCUCUUCUCCUCGUAAAUCCUCCAGAUAUCUUCUCUGAGACUGAAAGUCUCGAUGACCAUGAUAUAAAUCGCGCGAACAGCCUCUGGUGACUUUGCAACUGCCGCUAGAUUCCAUGCAGCGACUGUACGAGUUUCGUUUACUCUCGUUUCGACUACUCUCCACGUCUUCAUCUCGACCGAUUCUCCGUCACGAUUCAUAGGGGUAUAGGUAAACGACAUCCGCGUCCGAGUGGGCACGUGCGUGUGCCUCUGCGUUCGCGUGUCCCGUAGUUUGUGUCGUUGACUGAGGGUGGUGGUGGUCGUGUGAUGGUAGUGGCGAAAAGGGGGAAAAGGGUGACGGAGGAGGGAGAGCAAGCACGUGUGAGGACGUAGUACGAUUUACUCGCAGAUCGGUGGAACGUCUUCCUCGUUCCCUCCCUCGCCCUCUUUCUCGUCGAUGAGCUGUCUUUCUUUCUCUUCCACCCCUUCCCCCUAUCGCGUACUUCUCUUCCUCAUUCUCCUCCUCUUCGUCGUUCCUCCUCCUCCUCCUCCGCCUUCUCCUCCUUCACCACCUCUUCCUCCUACCACUGACAUUAUACUACUACUACGGGGUACUCCACUUUCAUUCAGUCGCUUCUAAAAAUAAAGUCCCUGAUUCACAAUGCAUGAAUGACAAUCACACUGAAAGGAAUACCGCACAGACUUGUAGCCUUUCUCACUCUCUUUCCCCCCUAUCUCACUCCCUCCAACCGUCCCAUGUCUUCUUUGUCUCUCUUGUCGAUCUCCUGCUCUUGCGAUUUUCCCUCUCCCUCCGUCUUUCUGUUGUAUAUGUCCUGUCUCGUUCUACCAUUCCCGAAGCACUCUCUCUCGCUCUCUUUUCGCUCCUAUCACUCUCGCCUCUCCUGUCUCGCUUCUUUUUCCAACCUGUUCUCUCGUUCCCUGGCGCCCACCCCCUUUCUCCCUCCUCUCUCUCUCUCUCUCUCUCACUCUCUCUCUCUCUCUCUCUCUCUUUCUCUCUGUGUCUAUGUAUGUAUAUAUAUGCCUGCCUCUGUGUGUAUAUGUGUCGUACUCUCUUGUAAGAGAGUGAAAUCUCGGUUCGCCUGUUGCAUCGAACUAUUGGUUGGUUCCGUGUAAAUAGAUCCCGUGGAAAUUCGAAGUAGCAUUGCCGCGUUGCGCCGGCCUGAUCGAUCGGAGGGAUCGAUCUCGCACCGGAGAACUUGUUGCACAUCGUGCCAGAUUUUACAAAUGUCACGGUCCGAUGUUUGAAUUGGCAUCAGAGAGUAUGUAGGUCCGUUUGAAUAAACGUUAUCGUUUGCUCGUACUAUCCGAUGGUGAUCGAGUAAGUCGAGGAAUAGGAAGCAGUUGGAGAAUAGUUACUGAAACGUUUCUCUGCUCGUAGGUGUUUGGGUGAAGCGGUGGCUGCUUCUUUCGAGGAUAAAUGAGAAGUUUGAUAUUGCAGAGGAUGAAAAAUUCUCAGUAGAGUUCGCAAGACCGAUACGAUAACGAAGCGGGCUAUCUAAAGCAAGAUCGUAUCGCUGGCUGAUAAACGAAUUCUGCGAGGAAAACAAGUGUAGAUUCAACGAGAUAUCGCUGGUACUACGUUAUGACAGUUUCAGGCGAUGUGCGUGUUCGUUUUAAAGUACAUGUAUAAUUAAAGUGUAGCGAUGAAGGCACAUAACAGGAUCCCAUGCAAUUUAUUAUCCAUAUAAUUACAGAAUUCUUAAUGUAUCAAGUCAAGAAAACGAGAAGGGUUCGUUUUAUGAAGAUGAACAACGAAGAUAGCAACCGGAAAUACCAGCUAUAAUUUGGGAAUGCACAAUUGUCCCGUAACGCUCUGAAGGUUCACGGAAAUAGGGGCGAGUAACCCUGAAUAUCUCGUGAAGUUCUCGGCUCGAAACACCCAAGGAGAACUGGUUUCAACUCAUCAUAGUCACCUAGCUGUUCACGAUACGGCAUUCCAAAAUAAAAAGCAGAAUAAUCGAAUGUCCCUGAAAACAGCAAAACACUGCCGAAUUCAAUAAUAUUGCUUGAAGCUGUUUUAAAGCCUACAGGUAUUUCAAAAAUUCUUCAGUGAAGAAUUAUCCGCGAGGAGAGUUAUAUUGGCUCGUACAUACAAAAGACCUACUUUCAUCACCCUUGUUGAAGUUACUCACGCGAAACAUCCUUGUUAGUAGAUAAUCCUAUAAUAAAUGCAGCCUACAGAAACUUCAAGACACUUCAAAUUCUUCUUGCGAAAGAAAUUGCAGCAACGUCCAACGGUACUAUAAAAAUAUGGCAAACGUUUGCGAACGUUUAUCCACUUACGAUAUUCCAAACGACUAGAUGAGAAGUUAAAUAUUUCUUUAAAAUCAAAAUGCUUCAUGGCAUCAGAAGUUAAAGAAAAAGUGACUCCAGUACUUAAAGAAAAGAGAAAAAUAAUUCAAAGUCGGAUAAUUCCAAGAUUAAAAUAUCUCUCUAGUUGAACCAUGGCUACGACAAUCCUGGACUCUAAUCUGACUGCAAGAUUUCAGCGAAGGGACAACUUUGUGUCCAAGAGUUUCCCUUGACGAGACUCCCUCGUUAUUAUCCGCCGCUGCGAGCCUCUACUCUAACUAAAGAGAGACUUUAGAGUGCAAGACAGAGCUAUAGGUAGAGAGAGCAGCAGUACCAGCAGCUCGAACCGCUCACAGCUAAAUAUAUCUCUCUCUCUAGAGUUACUCAAGGUCACAGCGCUUGGAUUGGCCCACGAUAAAGCGCAGCUCCGUACCCGUCCCUCGGCUGCCCGGCCUUAUGCUUCGUUCGCACACAUUCUGCCGAGCCGUGGCCCACAUGUCACUUCGCGACAAUGUCGUAUACCAGCCGCAUCGGGUACACGUGUUCGAUCGAACGCAGCAAUAGUCACUCCGCAUACGAGCCGUAUUUUCAGCCGCGAUACGUUCCUAUAUAGUCACGUCUACACCUUUCGAUCUUUUUCCCCAUUGUUCUGUUUCAUUAGUCACAAUCGCAAUUUCGCAUUAAUCGCGAUCAAAAUUCUGUGUUCUCGUUUCACUCACGUUCCGUCAUUUUUUGGAACGUUUUUCUCUUUAAAUAUCACGGAACACUUUCGAUCCCUUUCGAUCAUCGACUUUUUAAAUCUUCGCUACUUUUGCAUUUUGGUUUUAAAGUAGAGUAUUUUAUGGAAGUUGGUUCUUUUUAUGAAUAAAGUUGCCUAUUUUCUUUAAGUUACAUAUUAAAAUUGGAUAUUUCUGAAAAAUAUAAAUAACAAUAAAAAUAAUCUGUGUGAUAAAAAGAAAGAUAUUUCGGAGGUAGUAUCGUUUUAGCCCGUUCAGGGAAUAUACGAUAUAUUGCAUACGUGAUGUUAUUAUUAUUCUAUGAAGCACGUAUACUGACUUCCGGGUAAACCAUAGACACGGAAAGAGAGUGUGACCUGUUGCUGACGACAAAUAAUUGGCGAGUUACAGGUCGCUCUUUAGAAACACCAACAGAAAGGCGUAGAAUCCAUGGGGCGUAUGUUCCGUAAUAAUGUAUACGCAAUGUAGGAUCUUACAAACAAUGGCGUAGGCUUCAAUGCAGCUUAAGUUCAUUAUAAAAUUAUUUACAUUUUAUUAACAUCAUUCGUUUGCGAGAUUUCUAUUAAUCCUACUACGUUCUUUAAAUUUUAUAAAAAAAAUCAUAGAUUAAUAUUCAUGAUUUUUUACUUUAACGUUAUAUUACAGUU